rnacentral:antisense_RNA from 1 species
ACGGACGGGAGGCCCGUGGCGGAUCCGCCACGGGCCUCCCGUCCGU